rnacentral:lncRNA from 1 species
CACUUAUUACAAAAUUAAAAUCAAACAACGAAAAUCCAUAUUCUUCUGUUGCAGAAUUAUUGUUGAUCCCUAUUUGAUUGUUCACAUCACUUUCCUUUCCAUUUUGAUCGGUGAUUUUUCAAUCCUUAGAGUCUUUUGUCAAUGACUAUGUCAACUUUCAAUUUACUUGAGCCCCAAGAAUCUUUUUAGCGAUUCUGACAUACAAUCUAUUUUCACCGCAUACCAUCUAGCCCACUCAUCUUCUUCAGUUUUUAUCAAAUCUGUUUU